AGUACCUAACACCUCACAACCUAUUCCAUUCCGAACCUAUUGAUUGGGAUUUUUGUAUACUUUUAUACUCAUUGCAUCCUAGCUUGCUAUUAUAGCAAACAUGCAGGUAUUUAAAGAAAUGUUUUGUUUUUCCUUUUUAGCUGUUGAAAUUUCUUGAAUGCAAACACAACACAACACACCAUGCGCACAUGACAGAGGUCUCCGUCACUGCGGAGGGAAGAUCGCAAUGCUGCUUGCAGGCUGUUGACAGAAAGUGAUCAGUUGUCGUGUUCCGCCAGCUGCUGCGCCGGCGUUGGCAGCGCACAGCCGCUACCAGCUGACACGCCGACCGGUGCGCGGCGCGCGUGUGCCGGGCGCCGACGGCCGUCGUCUGGCAGCAACAGCGCUGCCAGUGACUCGCGCUGCUGCUGCAGAAACUGGAUAAGGAUCGUAGAAUCCUGGCGUGUUUUUGUAACGUCCAUUAGAGUGAUUUAGACGCAGCGUGUAGAAAGGACUCGUUUAUUGACGUGUGACUUUCUGACAGCUCAGUCACCUGUUGACGGCGGCGCACAGCGUCACCUACCCGCCCUACAGCCGGCCCAGCAGGCGGACGGAGAGGCCCGCCCGGGCCCAGUGCCGCACGGAGAGGCGGCGGCGCUGGAGGCCAACACCCCGGCUCGCGGCCUGUAGCUGACGGUGCUGGAGCCGCGAGUCACCGUGGUGGCUGGCCAUGGAGACUUGGAAAAGGCCGGUGAGGUGCGUCUCCC